GACGAACGCUGGCGGCGUGCUUAACACAUGCAAGUCGAACGGAAAGGCCCUGCUUUUGUGGGGUGCUCGAGUGGCGAACGGGUGAGUAACACGUGAGUAACCUGCCCUUGACUUUGGGAUAACUUCAGGAAACUGGGGCUAAUACCGGAUAGGAGCUCCUGCUGCAUGGUGGGGGUUGGAAAGUGUCGGCGGUUGGGGAUGGACUCGCGGCUUAUCAGCUUGUUGGUGGGGUAGUGGCUUACCAAGGCUUUGACGGGUAGCCGGCCUGAGAGGGUGACCGGCCACAUUGGGACUGAGAUACGGCCCAGACGCCUACGGGCGGCAGCAGUGGGGAAUAUUGCACAAUGGGCGGACGCCUGAUACAGCAACGCCGCGUGCGGGAUGACGGCCUUCGAGUUGAAAACAGCUUUCGCCUGAGACAAAGCGUGAGUGACGGUAAUGGGUAAAGAAGCAACGGCUAACUACGUG
rnacentral:rRNA from 1 species